GACGAACGCUGGCGGCGUGCUUAACACAUGCAAGUCGAGCGGUAAGGCCCUUUCGGGGGUACGACGAGCGGCGAACGGGUGAGUAACACGUGGGUGACCUGCCCUCAGCUCUGGGAUAAGCCUGGGAAACCGGGUCUAAUACUGGAUAUGACUCCAUGACGCAUGUUGUGGGGUGGAAAGCCUUGUGCGGCUGAGGAUGGGCCCGCGGCCUAUCAGCUUGUUGGUGGGGUGANGGCCUACCAAGGCGACGACGGGUAGCCGGCCUGAGAGGGCGACCGGCCACACUGGGACUGAGACACGGCCCAGACUCCUACGGGAGGCAGCAGUGGGGAAGUCUUGCGCAAUGGGCGAAAGCCUGACGCAGCGACGCCGCGUGAGGGAUGACGG
rnacentral:rRNA from 1 species